AUAAAUUUCUAUAGAAAAAAGAAUUUUGGAGAAAAAUCUUAUUAGUUACAUUUUUGUCUAAAUUUUAAAGUAAGAAUAAGAAACAUAUUUUUCGCGUGGUGUAAAUGAAGAAAGAUUGUGUUACACGGAUGGAUUAAAGCUAGAGGACAGAAUAGGACUGGGGGUCUACAUUGAGAACCCAAGGCCAUAAUACGGUCAUGCAGGCGGAGACCCGGGCGAUCACGGAAUGCGUGAGGUGGUGUGGUGUUAACGGACAGUACACAGGCCAUAAGGGCAAUAAAAACCAGGACAGUAAGCUCACGAACAGUGUUGGAAUGUAAGAAGGAAAUUAACGCGGAAAGGAAAAAUUCUCCGAGGGAGGCAAAAUCCGCAUCGUUUGGGUGCCAGGGCAUAGCGGAGUUACUGCGAAUGAGCAAACAGACAAUUUGGCAGUGAAGUCCAGAGAACUGCCGUCAAUAAACUUGGUUAACCCGAAGCCUUUCGGGUCGACGCAAUCCGAGUUAAGGGAGUGGGCGACGAAUGCACAUGUAAACCUGUGGAACAGCGAAACUGUCGGUAGGACGACGAAAAUCCUAUAGGGAGGUCCAGAUCGUGAGAAGCGAGGCUAUUAGUAAAAAGAAGUAAGAAGGAGGUCAAUAUAACUUUCGCCAUCAUAACCGGACACAUAAGACUACGAGCUGACUUAUGUAAAAUCGAUGCGACAAGUGAUAGCAUGAGUAGGGCAUGCGGAUAAGAUGAUAAGACGUUGGAGAAUUUCCUAUGUCAUUGCCCGGCUUGCGCAUCUAACAGAUACCGGCACUUAGGUGGGGACACAAUACCAGAUAUGAACCAACAUAGGGGCGUGGCAUGGAAAAUAUUUAAGGAUUUUAUUUUACAGUUGUUCUUCAAAUUUCGGAGAGAUAUUUGCAGCACAAUUUAUGCCGACAAUUUUUUCAUAACUUUGGAUUUGGCGCGUAUCGAAUAAGACAUGUGUGCCUCGGGAAUUCCAAAAAAAUCAUACGCCCUGUCGACAGCACAUUGUUCAGCAUCAACGAAGGCGAUACAGCACUAUGUUCAUAUGUGCCCAAGACGAACAAAACGGCAAUUUUGCUGUCGACACAUCAUUAUACUUGCGGUGUGGACAUGCAAACUGGAAAUAAGAAGCCGUUUGCUAUUUUGCAUGACAAUGCCAAUAAAUCGGGCGUUGAUACAAUAGACCAGAUGCUUGGCACAUAUACAUGCAAGCGCUCAACAAACCGCUGGCCAUUGGCUAUGUUUUAUAAUAUAGUGGACAUUGUUGCAUUUAUUGCAUACAAUGAGAUGAAGCCAAUAAAAGGAAGUAACAGACGACGGUCAUUCCUACUGGUGCUGACAAAACAAAGAGGGACGAGUGAUGAACAACCGCAUACCCAAGGAUAUGGAACGCAAUGGAAGCAUAUGAUAUAUUAAAAAGGCCGCCAGAAGGAGCUGUACCUACGUUUGCGUCUAUAACUAACAGACCGUCAUGUCGCCUAUGCCGUUCUGAGUACGGACGGCAGCAAACAAGGGCCUAUUGCCAUUUCUGUAACGAUCCAGUUUGUGCAGUUUUUUAGGCUUUUUUCAUAUAAAACUCAUAAAAAGGUUAUGUUAUGUAUAAACUUUUUUUCUAACAUUCAUUAUCUUAUAUAUAAAAAUCAAUUUGAGUU